GUGUAAUCUACAUCCCUUUGAGUCAAAACCGGAUUUUUCUUUAUUACGAAAUAGCAGUGAAUGUGUGCGUUGAUAACGUUGGAAUUUAAUGCCUCAUGUCUACGUUCGUCCAACUGAGACUUGAAUGUUCGACGUUGGCAAAUAAGACAUGUCCUGGGCAGUAUAUCGCAUGCGACUUGGACCGUAAGCAAUGUAUUCAACCCGAAUGCCCGCGCCUUAACGUCACAAAUGGAAGCCUACUAGGCAACAUGAACAACAAUUCGUUACGUAAACAGGUCACCUGCAAUCCUAAAUAUAUCGAAGCGUCUGGAGCUAGUUAUACAACAUGCAUCGACGGAAACUGGACCCCGAAGCCGAAAUGUAUUGUUAAGCUGCCGACAGUGCGUUGAGAGUAAGAACCGUGGCAGCAGUUCCCUCUGGAAGUCAGACACACGUUGUUCCCACCUAACACUCAACUCUAACUUCUGGUUCGAGACAUUUUACCCAUUAUACUCUGGUUCCCGCUUCUAAUGGCGGGCAAAACGAAGUGAUGGGACUGACACGUUUCGUACGAACAGUUGCAAAUUCUUGAAGAGGAGACCGGUGCCGCCAAGAUUGCAUUAAGUCCAAUUAAAGGAAAUGACGAUGACAAAACAACAGAAUACAAAGCCGGAUCGGUCCCGGAAUAACAACGCCUGCACACUUCACCGCCAGUCUCCAGGGUGAUUGCGACAAGUUAGCAAGAGGAGUUAAACCUUCGAUAAAUUUGGCGACAAAGGGAACAACCAUCGGAACAGGGAACGGAAGAACUCUCAAUGCGUGUGACACAUAUGUCCCUAAACUGAGGCACGAGCUGAAGCGCUACCGCUGGAACAUCAUCGCACUAGCCGAGAUUAGGAUUCGGAGAAACAUCAACAGACGAAGGGUAUAAGAUAUGGUUCAGCGGUGAGGAUUCUAUACAUCGACACGGGAUUGAUUUCAUCGUUAGGAAGGAGGUAGUCAACAGUGUCAUCAGUUGCACCCCAGUCUCCAGCAGACUCAUUUCCAUCCGUAUAACAGCGAAACCUCACAACACCACAAUCAUCCAGGUCUACGCACCAGCAGCUGACUAAAAGAUGCGGAGAUUGAACAGUUCAAUAAAAAAAAUAAGAGCGCAUCAUAGUCAAGGUCCUUAAGAAAGACAUCAUUAUUGUCAAGGCGACUGACAAUCACGUGAGCCCGAUUUGCUGUAACAUUCAAGUAAAAAAAAAACAAAUCAUAGAAGUGAAAAGAACGCCAUCAUAAUUUAAAAACAAACAUAGUCAGCCAUUGUAAAAAUUCUUUUAAGUUUUUGUUAUAAAUAAGAGUACGCAUAAAAUUACUUAUAUUGUAUUAUGUACGUUUAUAUUGAAAUGCCGCUGUGUUAUCGUUUUUGUACCAGUUCAAUUGUUUCGUUCGUUAUUUAUUCAUCUAUUUAUUCCUCAUAUGUGUUUUAUUUUUAAAAAAUCUGUGCUUUUUGUAAAAUACCGUUAUGUUAAUCGACUAAUCUUUGUCAAAACAAGUGAAAAUCAGAUGGAACUAUUAUGUUUUAUCAAUAAUUUGCUCAAUGCUUUGUAUGUUAUUGACUUUUAUUGCCAACUUUAUUGCAUAUGUGUUAAAUAUGCACCAUCAUGUUUAUGUGCAAUAACCAAUUAUCAUGAUUGAAUGCAUUAUGCUCGUGUAUUAUUUUUUACAAUGUAUAUAAUGUACACUCUUUAUUGUCAUAAAUUUGUUGGAAAAACAUUAAUUGUAUAUUAUCCAUAUCGAGGUACAAUACCUUAACAAAUGAUUUAAACUGAG